rnacentral:rRNA from 1 species
UACGGGAGGGUGCGAGCGUUGUUCGGAAUCACUGGGCGUAAAGCGCGUGUAGGCGGCCCACUAAGUCUGAUGUGAAAGCCCGGGGCUCACCCCCCGGAAGUGCAUUGGAAACUGGUGGACUCGAGUCCCGGAGAGGGAUGCGGAAUUCCAGGUGUAGCGGUGAAAUGCGUAGAUAUCUGGAGGAACACCGGUGGCGAAGGCGGCGAUCCUGGACCGG